rnacentral:rRNA from 1 species
GAUGAACGCUGGCGGCGUGCCUAAUACAUGCAAGUCGAGCGAACAGACGAGGAGCUUGCUCCUCUGACGUUAGCGGCGGACGGGUGAGUAACACGUGGAUAACCUACCUAUAAGACUGGGAUAACUUCGGGAAACCGGAGCUAAUACCGGAUAACAUGUUGAACCGCAUGGUUUAACAGUGAAAGACGGUCUUGCUGUCACUUAUAGAUGGAUCCGCGCCGCAUUAGCUAGUUGGUAAGGUAACGGCUUACCAAGGCAACGAUGCGUAGCCGACCUGAGAGGGUGAUCGGCCACACUGGAACUGAGGCACGGUCCAGACUCCUACGGGAGGCAGCAGUAGGGAAUCUUCCGCAAUGGGCGAAAGCCUGACGGAGCAACGCCGCGUGAGUGAAGAAGGUCUUCGGAUCGUAAAACUCUGUUAUUAGGGAAGAACAAAUGUGUAAGUAACUAUGCACGUCUUGACGGUACCUAAUCAGAAAGCCACGGCUAACUACGUG